CUUCUGAGAAGAAAGUGUCUUUAUAGUGCUUGCUAAUUCCUGGCAUCCUAUGUUUUUCCUUCCCAGAAUGCCCCUGAAGAAAAAGAGGAAGUAUGUGAAAAUUUCCGGCAAUCCAGGAAUCAUGGUAAAAUCGACCUGGAGAAACUAGAACACCGAGCCUUGCUGAACAACAAUCAUUCUGAGAGUGAAAGAGAACAUGUGGUUUCCACCUACGGUUUAAUACAUACCACCAAGAAGGGCUUGCGUGAUGCUACCCCUUCAUCACCUGACCCCAAAAAUGCCCCUGAAGAAAAAGAGGAAGUAUGUGAAAAUUUCCGGCAAUCCAGAAAUCAUGGUAAUAUC